GAACUCUCUUGUUGCUUUUCUCCCUCCUAGAGCAGUCUACUGGUGAACUCUCUUGUUGCUUUUCUCCCUCCUCAGAGCAGUCUACUGGUGAACUCUCUUGUUGCUUUUCUCCUCCUCAGAGCAGUCUAGGUGAACUCUCUUGUUGCUGUUGCCCUCCUCAGAGCAGUCUACUGGUGAACUCUCUUGUUGCUUUUCUCCCUCCUCAGAGCAGUCUACUGGUGAACUCUCUUGUUGCUUUUCCCCCUCCUCAGAGCAGUCUACUGGUGAACUCUCUUGUUGCUUUUCUCCCUCCUCAGAGCAGCCUACUGGUGAACUGCCAGGCAUCCAGGAAGCCGUGGAGAGCCAGUCAGAUGAGCACCCUCUUCAUCUCUCUGCUGUGUCCCCUCUUUCCUCGGGGCCAUCGUGUCUGUGACCUACACCAUAUUGACGAUUAA
rnacentral:lncRNA from 1 species